ensembl:lncRNA
CAUCAGUCAAGCACAUGAACUCUGCAUCCAGCAUGAGGCCGGACAGCUUUGGCUGUGUUGCUCAGAAGAAUAAAUGUGGAAAACAAACAAACAAACAACAACAAAAAUUUGGAUAAUUAAUAAUAAAUCCCUGCAGUUUUUUUUAAUUUUAUACUGGCAUGGCUGGCAUAAUAUUUCUAAUUUGAAGAAAGACGGGUUUUGUAACAGAGUGAUUUUGCAACAGGAUUGCCUGGACUUUCUUUUAAAUGCAUAAUUUCUAAUUCUUUGAGCCAAGUGUUACAUUCUGAAGAUCUUAUUUAGAGACUCAUGAGAUAAAUUUGUCUAUUCCUUUUAUUCCAGUUGAAUGGUUCUGGCAAGAGGAAAGAAACUGGAAACCUGGUCAUAAGGGAUAAGGAGAAUGACAUCUCUGCUACAGUCUUCAUCAGCAAGGGCUCUAGUCACAUAUCCUAAGCUGCGGAAAGCAAAGGUAAGAACUGGGAGAAGGAAGAUCUGCCUGCUGUAAGUGAAGAUCAAGAUCAUCUAAAGAAUCUGAAAUUGCACAAGUCCAUGGGACCCAACAAGAUCCAUCCACGGGUUCUGAGGAAAAUGUUGGAUGAAGUUACCAAGUCUCUAUGCAUCAUAUUGGAAAAGUCAUGGCAGUCUGGUGAAGUUCCUACUAACUGGAAAAGGGGAAACAUAACUCCCAUUUUCAAGAAGGGAAAAUAAGAAGAUCCAGGGAACGACAGGCCAGUCAGUCUCACCUCUGUACCUGGCAAGAUCACGGAGCAGAUCCUGCUGAAGGCACUACUAAGGCACUUGGAAAAUGAAGAUGAUGUGAUCGGUAUUAACCAACAUGGCUUCACCAAGCACAAACUGUGCCUAACAAACUUGGUACCUUUUUAUGAUGGAGUUACAGCAUCAGUAGAUACAGGAAGAGCAACUGAUCUCAGCUGAGCUUGUACAAAGCAUUUGACACUGUUCUGCAUGACGUCCUGGUUGUGAAAUUGGAGAAAUAUGGAUAUGAGGGAUGGGCCACUUGCUGGAUAAGGAAUUGUCUGUAUGGUUGCACUCAGAGUCUGCUCAAUGUCCAACUGGAGACUGGUGGCAAGUGGCAUUCCUCAGGGAUUGGUGCUGGAACUGGGGUUGUUUGACAUCUUUGUAGGUGACAUGGACAGUAGGAUCUAGUUCACUCUCAGCAAGUUUGCAGACAACAUCAAGCUAAGUGGUGCAGUUGACAUGCUAAAGGGAAGGAAUGCCAUCCAGAGAGACCUGGACAGGCUUGAGAGGUGAACCCAUGCCAACUUCAUGAAGUUCAACAUGGCCAAGUGCAAGGUACCCAACCCUGCACCUGGGUGGGGGCAAUCCCAAGCACAGAUACAGACUGGGCUUGAGAGCAGCCCUGAGGAGAAGGAUUUGGGGGUGUUGGUUGAUGAAAGGUUCAACAUGAACCAGCAAUGUGUGUUUGCAGCCCAGAAGGACAAUUGUAUCCAGGGCUAGAUCAAGAGAAGCAUGGCCAGCAAGUCGUGGGAGAUGAUUCUGCUCCUCUACUCUGCUCUCAUGAGAACCCACCUGGAGUGCUGAAUGCACCAGAAGGACACUGAGCUGUGGAAUGGGUCCAGAGGAGGGCCACAAGGAUGAUCAGAAGGCAGGAGCACCUUCCCUACAGGGACAUGCUGAGAGAGCUGGAGCUCUACAGCCUUGAGAAGAAAAGGCUUCAAGAGAAUCUAAUAGUGGCCUUCCAGUACCUGAAGGGGGGCUAUAGAAAAGCUGGGGAGUGACUUAUUAUAAGGACAGGUAACAACAGGACAAGGGGAAAUGGUUUUAAACAGGAAGAGGAUAGAUUUAGACUAGAUAUUAGGAAGAAAUUCUUUACUUUGAGGAUGAUGAGAUACUGGAACAGGUUGCCCAGUUGGAUUGUGGAUGCCCUCUCACUGGAAGCAUUCAAGGCCAGCCUGCAAGCAACAUGGUGUAGUGGGAGGUGUUUCUGCCUGUAACAGCAGGGGUUGGAACUAGAUGACCUUAAAGGUACCUUCCAUCCCAAACCAUUCUAUGAUCCUAUGAUUCUCUGAACUUUUCUUCCCUUAUAGGCAACAGAACUGAUAUUUAGAUUUCACAUAUACUAAUUCAAAGAUAAUAAUAUGACACAGUUCUGUCAAGCAACCUCUAAAUACUUUUUUUCUAAGCACUAUAACAAUGUGAUUCUAUGAUUAUAGAGUAAUUUUCCAGCCGAGCUUACCAAUUCAGCUAGUAUAUGCCGUUUGUAUAUUUAACAGUAUUUUGGCUCUACUCUGUUGGCUUUUUUUCCUAAUAGUCUAGCAAACUUUAUAGAAUCAUAGAAUUGUUUGAUUUGGAGGGAAUUAUUAAAGGCCAUCUAGUCAAACUCCCCUGCAAUGAACAGGGACAUCUGCAGCUCGAUAGGUUGCUCAGGGCUCCGUCCUCUCUGACCUUGAAUGUCUCCAAAGACAAGGCAUCCACCACCUCUUUGGGCAACCUGUUCCAGUGCUUCACCACCCCUACUGUAAAAAAACUUUUCCUUAUAUCUUGUAUAAAUAUAUCCUUUUAGUCUGAAAGCAUUUCCUCUGGUCCUAUCACAACAAACCCUGAUAAAGAGUCCCCUUCUUCUCUGUGGCUCCCUUUUAGUUACUGAAAGGCCACUAUUAUGUCUUACAGGAGCCUUCUCUUCUCCAGGCUGAACAGCCCCAGCUCUCUCAGCCUGUAUUUACUGGGAAUAAUGUUAAUUAAAUAUAUAUAAAUAUAUAUAAAUAUAUAUAUAUAAUAUAUAUUAAUUAAAUAUAUAAUAAAUUAAUUAGAUGAACUCAUUUUCAGAGAGCCAGCAAUAAACCAAUUAUUCAUAAGAACAAGCUUCCAAACUGAAGAUCCCAUUCAGUUUGUGCAAAAUAUACCCUCUCUUUCCUAGUAUAGGAAAUGAAUUUAAGUAUCACAACAAAGACUUUUUAAUACAAUGACAGAUAAUCAAACCUGACUCUUUGGAAGCAAGAGAAAAAUGUGUCAGACGUAAACAGCAGAGGACAAAUGCAUAGCAAAAAAAAAAAAAAAAAAAGCUCAGAAUAUUUCUUCAACAUAUUUUGAAUUCAAAAGUUUUUUUUAGUACACAGACAAAGUCAUUUUUUUAUACAAAUUAUGGUCUUGAUGAUAUGGUUAUUGGUCAUUCUGAUAAGAGUUCUCCUCUUUGAUGGCUUGGUUUUGCUUUUCUCUCACAUAACAAUAAAUGGGGAAAUGUUAAGAGAAAAGAAACUUCCAGAACAAAAUACCCACCUAAAUAAAAAACAGAACUUCAGAGACAGUGAAGACCUUAGGGAAUAAAAAACAAUUUGAUUACAGGUGAUCAAAUAGAAUUCAUUUUAUUCUUAUUUCCCGAUAAAUAUCUCUAGGGAUUGUACAUUUGCCUUCUAAAAAGCAGAUAAAUGUCUCUGUUAAAGCAAUGUAGUUUGCUCACAGCUCCGUAGCAUCAGACCGUUUUAUGAAUCCAAGGAAACAGAAGAUGAGAGAGAGGAAACCUCUUCAAGCCUUCCAUAGAUGAUUUUAUUCACCUUUGGUUAUUUGUAAUCCUCCAAGGGAUUUUAUACAUGGAAGAAACAUUGAAGAAUGUGUGAAUAUGUUUCCCUUUAUUUUCUUUAAUAGUAAUAUAUAUUUAAAAAGACAGUGUGAAACAUAUUUAUUUUUUAGGAUUAAUAGGAUGAAAAACUUGAAUCUAUACUUUUUUGUUUGAUUUGUGCUCAAAAAAAAAAAAAGAAGAAGAGGAAGAAGAGAGAGAGAAAAAAAAAAGGAAAAGGAAAAAAAAAAAAGGAAAACGAAAGAGGAAAAGAAUAAUUUGCAGGAAAAUCUAGGAAUAAUACAGGCACAGUGUUAUACCUGAGCUGCUCCCAAACCACACUAUACAUACUAUAUACCAGCAGCUGAAGUUGUAAAUACAACAUGUUUGAAAAAGGGGAAUCAAAAGUCCUUUGAUUCCUCUUCAGUUGAUUUGCACUUACUGAACUUAGAUAAUAAGUCCAAAGACUCAGGUCAAUAUUGCACCUUUAGACAUGUGCACUCCAAUUCCAUGGAAAUUAAUGAAGGAAAAGCAAAGACAUUGAGAGCCUAAACUAGGUUUUAAAAGCCAGAUGUAAUGCACAGUGAAGACAAUGGAAGUUUUGACUUAAAUGAGUUUUAGAUCAGUGCUGAGAGUUUACUUUGUAAAUGUUUCUUCAAGAAAUAUUCGAAAUACAAAAUAAGCAUUUCCAUACUGUUGGUUUUUGUGUUUAUUGUUUUGUUUUUUCAAUAAAUGAAUGCAAAAG